rnacentral:lncRNA from 1 species
AGAGGACUCUUGAGGUCCUUCAAAACAAAUGUCUGCCUUUGACCCGAGUCACCUGUCAAUCAAGGCUUCCAGACCUUCUGGAACACACUGAUUUGGAACAAGCUUCCUAUCCAUCGGGAUAAUGGAAUGACCAGACAAAACCUCCUUCAGAUGUGCUGACCCUCUCAGCAUCUCAAAUCCAAUGAAUGCAGCCAUCAAGGAAGCACAGUUCACAGGGGCUGGCAUGGAUGGGGAUACACGCUUACCUAAAGGUGCAGAUGUGGACCAAGUACCUCCUCAUGCCCCAGAAUGCAUCACGGCAUGUGUCAAUGUCCAGCUGUUGAGGAGGCACUAUCACCAAGUCUUUGCAUGUCUGAGGGGACAGAAGGUGACUGUGGGCCAUGCCUGUGCCAGUUAAGAAGACAGAGUGAGCCCACUGGCCUCUCUUCCUGUGUGUGCAUCAAAGUAGGGAAGUCCUUGCUAUUUGGACACCAUAACCAUUGUUGAUGUCCUUUGUCUAUACGCUCUGCCAAAGGUCAGCCUGGGGACGUUUUCUGCAUGUGAGUUGAAGAUUUUCAAUGUUUGAAAUACCCAAAUGAGGCAGAAUAUGGAGGAAACAUUAUCACCAUGUUCAGAAGCGAAAUUUCUGCAGCCAGUGUCUGUCUACACACACUUAUACCACAGAAAGCAGAUUUGGGAAGAGCAGGCUGUGUAUGAGAGGCAGAUCCUGCCCAUCCAGCGUGAUAAACACGAUGUGGGAUGGGAGACAGGGAAGGGAUCUGGCAAAACCAAGUGACCAGGGUGGUAAACAGGACACAGCUCUACCCAAAGCGUCCAUGACAGGGAGUCUUCUAGAAGGGCUACCAUGCUUCUGUGAAAG